AUGAGUUAAGUAUAAACCCCUUUACAAGUAUCAAUUGGAGGGCAAGUCUGGUGCCAGCAGCCGCGGUAAUUCCAGCUCCAAUAGCGUAUAUUAAAGUUGUUGCAGUUAAAAAGCUCGUAGUUGGAUUUCUGUUAAUAAUUUAUAUAAUAUUUUAACGAUAUUAUAUAAUAUUAACAUAAUUCAUAUUACUAUUUGAAUAGUAUAUGAAAUUUUACUUUGAGAAAAUUAGAGUGCUUAAAGCAGGCAUUAGCCUUGAAUACUCCAGCAUGGAAUAAUAUAAAAGAUUUUUAUCUUUUUUAUUGGUUCUAAGAUAAAAAUAAUGAUUAAUAGGGACAGUUGGGGGCAUUUGUAUUUAACAGUCAGAGGUGAAAUUCUUAGAUUUGUUAAAGACAAACUAAUGCGAAAGCAUUUGCCAAGGAUGUUUUCAUUAAUCAAGAACGAAAGUUAGGGGAUCGAAGACGAUCAGAUACCGUCGUAGU
rnacentral:rRNA from 2 species